rnacentral:sRNA from 1 species
AUAUCUUUCUGUACGGGAAGGAUGAGAAGCUUCGACUAAGGUUCGAUUCGAGCGCAGCGAGAAAGCGUUGCCGUAGGCAACGACCCGAA